rnacentral:rRNA from 1 species
UACGGGGGGGGCAAGCGUUGUUCGGAAUUACUGGGCGUAAAGGGCUCGUAGGCGGCCAACUAAGUCGGACGUGAAAUCCCUCGGCUUAACCGGGGAACUGCGUCCGAUACUGGAUGGCUUGAGUUUGGGAGAGGGAUGCGGAAUUCCAGGUGUAGCGGUGAAAUGCGUAGAUAUCUGGAGGAACACCGGUGGCGAAGGCGGCUUCCUGGCCUGUUCUUGACGCUGAGGCGCGAAAGCUAGGGGAGCAAACGGG